ensembl:snRNA U1 U1 spliceosomal RNA
AUAUUUACCUGGCUGGGGAGAUGCCAUGAUGACAAAGGUGGUUUUCCCAGGGCGAGGCUUAUCCAUUGCACUCCGGAUGUGCUGACCCCUGCAAUUUCCUCAAAUGUGGGAAACUUGACUGCGUAAUUUGUGGUAGUGGGGGACUGCGUUCAUGCUUUUCCCUA